AAUUGGAGAAAGGGGGAGAAUAAGGAAAUUGGAGGGAGGGAGGGGGAGAAGAAGGAAAUUGGAGGGGGGAGAAGGAGAAGGAAAUUUCUUUCCUCCCCCCCUCCCUCCAAUUUCCUUCCUCCCCCUCCCUCCCAUUUC
rnacentral:miRNA from 1 species